CAUGCAAGUCGAACGGUAACAGGUCUUCGGAUGCUGACGAGUGGCGAACGGGUGAGUAAUACAUCGGAACGUGCCUAGUAGUGGGGGAUAACUACUCGAAAGAGUAGCUAAUACCGCAUGAGAUCUACGGAUGAAAGCAGGGGACCUUCGGGCCUUGUGCUACUAGAGCGGCUGAUGGCAGAUUAGGUAGUUGGUGGGGUAAAGGCUUACCAAGCCUGCGAUCUGUAGCUGGUCUGAGAGGACGACCAGCCACACUGGGACUGAGACACGGCCCAGACUCCUACGGGAGGCAGCAGUGGGGAAUUUUGGACAAUGGGCGAAAGCCUGAUCCAGCAAUGCCGCGUGCAGGAUGAAGGCCCUCGGGUUGUAAACUGCUUUUGUACGGAACGAAAAGCCUGGGGCUAAUAUCCCCGGGUCAUGACGGUACCGUAAGAAUAAGCACCGGCUAACUACGUGCCAGCAGCCGCGGUAAUACGUAGGGUGCAAGCGUUAAUCGGAAUUACUGGGCGUAAAGCGUGCGCAGGCGGUUUUGUAAGACAGUGGUGAAAUCCCCGGGCUCAACCUGGGAACUGCCAUUGUGACUGCAAAGCUAGAGUGCG
rnacentral:rRNA from 1 species